rnacentral:rRNA from 1 species
AGACCCGAAACCCGGUGAUCUAGCCAUGGGCAGGUUGAAGGUUGGGUAACACUAACUGGAGGACCGAACCGACUAAUGUUGAAAAAUUAGCGGAUGACUUGUGGCUGGGGGUGAAAGGCCAAUCAAACCGGGAGAUAGCUGGUUCUCCCCGAAAGCUAUUUAGGUAGCGCCUCGUGAAUUCAUCUCCGGGGGUAGAGCACUGUUUCGGCAAGGGGGUCAUCCCGACUUACCAACCCGAUGCAAACUGCGAAUACCGGAGAAUGUUAUCACGGGAGACACACGGCGGGUGCUAACGUCCGUCGUGAAGAGGGAAACAACCCAGACCGCCAGCUAAGGUCCCAAAGUCAUGGUUAAGUGGGAAACGAUGUGGGAAGGCCCAGACAGCCAGGAUGUUGGCUUAGAAGCAGCCAUCAUUUAAAGAAAGCGUAAUAGCUCACUGGUCGAGUCGGCCUGCGCGGAAGAUGUAACGGGGCUAAACCAUGCACCGAAGCUGCGGCAGCGACACUGUGUGUUGUUGGGUAGGGGAGCGUUCUGUAAGCCUGUGAAGGUGUGCUGUGAGGCAUGCUGGAGGUAUCAGAAGUGCGAAUGCUGACAUAAGUAACGAUAAAGCGGGUGAAAAGCCCGCUCGCCGGAAGACCAAGGGUUCCUGUCCAACGUUAAUCGGGGCAGGGUGAGUCGACCCCUAAGGCGAGGCCGAAAGGCGUAGUCGAUGGGAAACAGGUUAAUAUUCCUGUACUUGGUGUUACUGCGAAGGGGGGACGGAGAAGGCUAUGUUGGCCGGGCGACGGUUGUCCCGGUUUAAGCGUGUAGGCUGGUUUUCCAGGCAAAUCCGGAAAAUCAAGGCUGAGGCGUGAUGACGAGGCACUACGGUGCUGAAGCAACAAAUGCCCUGCUUCCAGGAAAAGCCUCUAAGCAUCAGGUAACAUCAAAUCGUACCCCAAACCGACACAGGUGGUCAGGUAGAGAAUACCAAGGCGCUUGAGAGAACUCGGGUGAAGGAACUAGGCAAAAUGGU